rnacentral:lncRNA from 1 species
CCGCUUCCAUCGAUGUCUAGUUGAUUGAAGAAGUCACGAGUACGCAUGUUCUCAUCGUGUGCUUUCUGCGACAUGAAAUCUGAAAACUCCCUGUAACUCACCCUACGGUUUCCAUCUUUAUCCAUUGAUUGGAAAAAUUGGUUGAAUAAACGUCUUUCUUCAUCGGUUCCAGAAUUAUAAUAGGCUAAAGCAACCUUUCUCAACGCCUCCAUUGCAGUUUCUUUUAUGGCUUAAUUUGCCAGAGAUUGUGAGGAGUGAAGACCUUCUUAUAUAUUUUUUCUCCAUAUGUUAUGUUAUUAUGCUAAUUGUUUAGUCUUAGGGAAAAUUAUUAAAACCUCCUCACCCGCCGCCCCCCCUUCAUGUUUCAGUAAAUUAACCUCUUCUCUUUCAUAUUUCAAAACCUAUAAAAAAAAACCUCAGUUAUUAACAGUUUCUCUUAACUUCAGACUUAUGAUUGAUUUUUUAAUGGAUAAUUAAUUGCUGAAAUUAAUAAAAAGUAAUCAUAUGUCAGAUUUUCUAAUUAUGAGAAAAUUUUGAUGAAUUUUAAAACAAGAGGAAAAAAUGAUUAAUUUAAACAAACAAAACAACAGAGGGGGUGUAAUCAUUUUCCAUUUAUAUUUCUCUAACUUUCAUGUAUGCCUGGUUUUUUCAACAAGGGAAGAUUCUCAACUACUUAUUGAAGCAACCUAGUGUAUGUGCAUGUCUGCAUGAUUAAAAUAAAUCUUCUUGACCCCAGCAUACUGUGAUUAAAUUCUUUUAAUUAAUUUUUAAAAAAACGCUAAUAGUCAUGUAUUUGGUAGCGAGUCGGCAUAGAAGAAUAUGAUAAACAUAUUGAUGUUUCCUUAAUUAAUAGUAAUUAAUCGCGGAUUAAGAAGUGGGAACUAUAUUUAUGACGACGACAUAUUUGUGACAUACAUAGAAGAUGCCCCGAGAGAAUUCAACUUUCAUUUUUUAAUCAAUCAAUUAAAUUAGCAUUUUAGUACUGUACACACUGAAGGGAAAUGAUAGUCAAAUUUUAAAAGUUUCAAGAAGCAAAGAGGAGAAACUGGAGAGUCUUCACAUUUGUUGGUUUUAACGGAUUUUGUAACAUUAUAACAAAUAUUUUUUGUUAUAGGCUACGGUGCAUAUUAUACUUAUAGUUAUAGUAUAUAAGUUGUUCUCGCUACAAGGUAUCAACGAUUUUUUAAAAGAUUUUAAAAAAUAUAAAAUUAUGGAUAUGUUAAAGGUAAAUGUUCUUUUAAUACCUAUAGUUUGAAUUAAUUGCAUAAUUAAUAGCUUUAUUUUUAAAAAAUAUUACUCAAAAUAUUUGUGUUUUUACUUUCAUACAUGUAUGUUUUAAUUUCUCCAGGAUAAACUAAUAGUUUCGUCUUAUAUAACUUAUAACUUUAAAAAAAAAAUCUAACAUAUAAUAGGUGAAAAAUUAUCCUAAUAAAUUUUAAUGGGUCUCUAAAGACAUAAUCGAACAACUUUUAAAUAACUUUAUUUUGAUUGGCGACUCGAGUUGGAAUCUUAAAAAAAGCUAAGGAGUUAAAAAUUCAAUUUGAGUUUUGUCCAAAAUAAAUUUUAAUGGAAACAAGUAUAUGACAUUGACAAGGACCGUUAGUCAGUCUUUAAAAAUAUAAAGACUGACUAAGUAAUUAAAGAUGAACAUUAUGCGGUCUACGCGGGUUUGAACUAACAAACAUGCAUUUUUUAGCGUUUCAAACUUGAACACUAAUGUUUUUUUACUAAAAGGUUCAAACGUUCAACAAAAGCUCAAACGUCAAAAGUUUAAACAUUUUUUAGCGUUUACCAUACAGAAGUUCAAACGUCAAGACCGAAAUUAAUAAAGUAUGUGGCAUGGAUGUGAGUCGCCCAAAAACUAAAAUGUUUUAGAAUCCACAUUUUGCAGGCCUUGCCACAUUUUCCAAAAAAAAACAAUAUUUUAAAAGAAAAAAAGCAAACUCUAUUGUUAAAGUUCGUCUUUUAUUAAUGAUUGCCGACAGAUGAUGCCUUUUGAGCCCAAAGCUACAUACUCAACUGUUAUUGUUGGCACGCAAUAAUUCAUUGGCAAUAUUUGUAUUGAUUUAUUAUUAUAAUCUUCCCAAUCACCGGACCUUGGCACGUCGGCUACCUAUAUAUAUAUAUAUAUAGAUAUAUAUAUACAGCUGUAGUCCUGUGGACACAUUAAGGCUCCAAUUUCUAAUAAAAUCUAAACAUACUAAUAUACGUAGAUUUCAAAUAAUUAACAAACAUCCAGCAUAAAAGAUACGUAGUGUGUAGUAUCUGUAGUCUAUACCUAUCUAUAUUAUUUCCAAUUUUAAAGUAAAUCUGAAUAGUGUUGCAAAUAUUGGCUUCAUUCAUUUUUGUCGUAUCAGUGAUACUCUAGUGAGCGCUUUUUUUUUUUUUUUGGACAAGCUCUAGUGAGUACCUGGUUUAGGCGUUGAAGUUUCUUUUUGUUGGGUGAUCAGCGAGGAAGUUUCGCUAUUUUUUAAUUUAUAAUUUUCUUGCUUGAGCACUUAAUCUCUCGGGUUUCCUACUUUACCACUCUCUCUCAGGGUCGGCGUUGGCUCAACUCUUGUCCGGUUCGUUUUGUCUUCCAAUGGCAUAUCGACACGCCCUAACUUUUUUUCAAGAAAAGUGCAUCUAAAUUAUUAUUUUUUAAAAAAAAAUUGAAUCAUGUCUUUUAACUAUUGAAUUUUCAAGUGGUAAAGUGCAACCUUUUUAGGAACCAGUUUUGAAUUUGAUCUACUAAUAAAAUAAAAAAUUAUUUUAUUUGUUAACCUUAUGGGGCCACUAGAUUAGUGAGUUUCAAUAGGUGCACGAGUUAAUUAAGGGACAGUGACCACCCUUAAAACUAUAAAUAGAUGUGGAAGUGAUGAAAUCAAUGGUUUAACAUCCAUUCUCCUAUCACCAAUUGAUUUUUAAAGGUAAAUGACAACUUUUACUUUAAAACUCCGUAAUUAGACAUGUUGAAGCAUUUUGUGACUGGUGAGACCUUAUCAUUUUUUUUUAUUGCAAUGUUCUACUGCUUCAUAGACGAUCAUUCAAUGAAAAUUAAACAUGUAAGCAUAUUAUGAGUUUAAUAUACAUGUUUGUGUGACAUUGUGAAAAUUGGUUGAUGAAACUAACAAAUGACCUAAGACAGAUUACGCUUUGCUAUUUUAAGUGAGUCUAUACUUCAUAUACACUUUGCCAUUGAAUCAUGCAACAAUAAUUCACUUAAAAUGCAAUUUGUAAUUUGAAUGUAUUGUGUAAAAUGGGGCAUAAUAUCAUCCUAAAAUAAAUAUUUAUACACACACACACACACAAAAGAAUCAGAUCAACAAAUUGAUGGUAAAAAGAUUUUCUCAAUUUCUCAACAGCAAACCAAAGACAGUUCCUCCAUUUCCACCUUCGGAGAGCUCCUAUCAGCCUCUCUCUCAUAGGUAUUUUAGUUUUUUUUUUUUAAUUUUAGUUUCGUUAUUCCUCCACUAAUGGAGACUGUUAUUUAGGGUUGAUAAAUUAAGGAUUUGGGCCGGGCUUUUUCAAGCUCAGACCUAAGACCAUUAGAAUAGUAGUGUAAGGAUUGGGUCUAGGCCAAGCCCACUGUAGGGCUGGACUAGAAUUGAGCUAAGCUUGAGCUUUUACUUAUAAUACAAUGGCAAUCUCGUAAUGCAUGAAAAAUAUCCUCAACCAAAGCCCCACAUCUAUCACAAGCCAUAGACACGGGAAUGUGACUCCGAGACAGCUCACCGUGAGUCUUCAAUUUCUCAUACAUAAUCUGCCAAAGAAAGAGGCGGAUAGACUGAGGCCCCUUCCAAGACCAUGGUAAGUUCCUUGCUUCAUCUUGAAUGACUAGGUUUUGAUGACAAAUAGAGUCAUAGGCUGAGCGUACAGUAAACACAGCUCUUGGAUGAAAACUCCAGUAAAUUUUUUCUGUGCCAAGAUGAGAAGCAGGAGGCAUAACCGAGGCAAUUUACAUGAGAAUAUAAUUUGGCAGCAAAUGUUCAAAGCUCAGCCAAUUCCAGCUCCCUUGUUCAUUUGUAAACUCACUCACAGUAGCAUUAACAACUUCAUGAAAGAUCGAUUGGAGGGUGAAAGUUAUCAAAGGUUAAACAAGCAACUUACCAAUUUUCCUAACCAGUUGACCAGUUGUUUUCAGUGAGUGAAGAUUAAACAAGCGGCUUACCGGUUUUUCUAACUGGCUAUUCGAUUAUGGUCCAAUACGUAAUCUUUAGGAAAUAGUUAAUCGAUUAUCUAUAUCCGGCUAUCUAGUUCUUGGCUAGAGAAGAAACAUAGAGAAAUGGCUUACUAAUUGGUUACAAGCAGUAUGCCAGUUUUGUCUUAGAAAACAUUUGGCCUUUUAUUGAAUUUUGGUUAAUCGGUAAACUUGUCUUGCACGCACCAAUUUAUUUUUGGCUUAAAACUUGAUCAAUUUUAAAUCAUUUUGUGAUUCAAAACUUUUUAAUAGGCCUUUUAAUGCAUGAAACAUAAGCGCAUACAAGAGAAAACAUAUGAAAUUACUCAUAUCAAACAAUGAUGCCAGCAUGACACUACAGCACUUCCCCGAAUCCCUUGUUCCCUCCGUAUAGAGCCAGCGUUGGUCAACCUUGGCAUGGGGAAGUAGUGUCACCACUACCACUUCCCCGGCGUGUAAAUUAUAGAGCUAUAACUGUCCCCAAGCACACACAACCUAAAAAAAAUUAUAAUUUAAGAUGCAACAUUCAUCAUUCCAAACUCAUGUCUAAUUUUUAUAAACUGCUCUUCACUAUGGGGUUUUGUAAAUAUAUCUGCAAGUCGAUUUUUAGUAAAAACAAAUUUAAUCACAAUAUCCUGCUGUACGGCCAAGGCGGAUGUACGGUACAGCAGUAUUACCCAUUUUAAAGUUCUCAAAACCUUUCACUUUAGUCUAAAAUUUGAAAAUAUGAGAUUUUCCUCGGGCUGCAAGCCACUAGCCUCCUCAGGCGGUUAGCCGCUCACUCUCUAUCCAAUUUUGGAUUUCAAAUGUUUGGAUUACAUUCGGAUCCUCAAACUUUUAUAAAUUAUAGUAUGACCCAAAACAUUUCAAAUAUUUGCAAAAAGGUCCAACACCGGAAUUCAAAAUAAUACUUAUUAAAUUCAAAGAUUGUAAAACUUUUCAUUUAAGUCAAAAUUACUCAAAUCCACAAAAUACUCUAUCUUAUAAAAAUAAAACCUUUUAGUUUAUGAAAAGUAAUUAUUUAAAUUAAUCUCUUGAGUUUCUCAAAUGCUAAAUCAUGCAUCAAUUAAAUCAUAUCGGCUUAACAAAAAUUUAUCGCAAUAAUUUAUCCGUUGAGCUCUAAACUUUAUUCUUGAUUUCGCCGUUGUCCGUUGAGUGUCUUCAACUUGAUUUCACUUGAUUUACUUACAUAAAUAUUAUCCUUAAAAAACUAGUGAAAAUGUGAAAUACAAUAUUUAUUAAAUCACUUAAGACACAUGUUUGUUAUCAUCAAAAUUACAUUAUGUAUAGUCCUUUAGGCUAACAGUUUUAUCAAGAUUGAUUUUAAAAAAAUUACUAAAUACUUUAGAUUUUAACCUUUUAAAAUUACUUUAGAGUCUCAAUAGUAAUCGUAAAUGAGCCCUUAGUCAAGAUGAAACAAAAAUAAAUUUAAAUUAAUGAUGCAUUUUAAAAAGUCAUGGUCCCCUCUAAAUUUCGUAAUUUCUACCAAUGACACGGACCGAUCAACAAAAAAAUAUCCCAAUAAUUUCAUAACUUCUAGUUUGGGGACGAGAACUUCAUAGCUACAGUGGUCCAUUUUGUCAUUGUUGUCUAUGUGUCUAUCUAUAUCUAAUUUACCAUUUUACAACGAAACAGUAUUUGGAAAAAAAAAACGUGUACAUAAAUUUGUGUGGUCAGCCUGGUUUUACGUUUCCUGCUGUACCGUACAUCCGCCUUGGCCGUACAGCAGUUGAAAAUAAAUUAGUAAAUAAAAAAAUUAAGUAAAUAAAAGUUUAGGGAUUUAAUUUUUAGUACUUGUUCACUAAUUAAAGCACUCUCUUAAUUAAUUAACAUUUAAAAGAAAAUUUAAAAUUAUAAUUUAAAAUUUUUUAUUAAUUAUUAAUAUAUAAAUUAGGAAUUUAAACUUUUUUUUUAUUUUGCCAAGGCGGAUGUACGGUACAGCAGUAAUAUAUAAAUUAGGAAUUUAAACUUUUUUUUUAUUUUUCAAAUUUAAAUUUAUUAUUUUAAUUUAUAAUUUCCUUUUAAAAAAAAUAGAGGUCUUAAGGUUGGGUUGUGUGUGUGUGUGUGUGUGUGUGUUUUUUUUUUCUAAACCCUCAUGUGAGAGGCCCGAACCAAAGUCUAUUGGAAUGGACGGCCCCAAGUUUUUACGAUCUCUACUGCUAUUCCUCUUAACGCCAAACAUCUGAAUUUUUGUGUUAUAUUGUGCUGUUCUUCUAUAUUUUAUGUGGCUUUAAGGCUCAAAUCUAGAAAGUUACGCGUUACAUAUCGUUGUUAGACGAGCGUUUAUAGCAUCAUUUUGAAAGAUGGAGCCACUUAAAGGUGAACUCAUGCUCUCACUUUGGUGACUCUCGUAAAAUAACUCUUCCAUUUAAAAUUGAAAAGAGAUAAUCUUUUGUUCUAUUAGUGCGGUUUGAGCAUAAGUUGCUUUCAAUGUGCGCGAUGGAAAAAAUUUAUAACUGUGCUAAUGUUUCGAAGAACAGACGCAUUGGAAACGUCGACCACGCAUUCACAACUUGGGAAGGAAAGUCAGUCAGGGGCGGUAGUCAAGUCGCUGACUGCUUGUUCCUCGAGCAGCAAGUCGAACAAACUUUGACACACUACUUUUUUUUUUUUUAGUUUUCAGCAAAAAAUAUAAUAUGCUAUUUGUUUUAAGCGGUUACUCUAUACAAAUAUAGGGAAAAAAAUUAAUAAGAAAAUAGUGAUUUCAAAACCUAUCAAAAGCUCUAAUUAAAUUGACAAAAAUAAUGCAUUAUGCCACAUGUCCGGUGGAAAAGAUUUUUAAGACCAAGAUUAGUCCACCGCACAGACAAGUCAUCAGAGCGACUCUUAAAAUAAAUUAAAGGGAAAUUAUCAAUCGUAUAUCCUUAAUUUACUCUGUUAUCAAAUUUAAUACAAUACUUUCAGGGUAUAUCAGUCAUCCACUCUAAGUUGACAAAAUAUAUAUACCGUCUACUAAAUCAUUAGUUGCCAUUUAAAUAUGAUGACGUCAGAUGGGUAAUCUCGUCUUUUCAUAUGAUACAAAUGAUAAUUUAAAGGUAUAUAAGUGAUAAUAAGAUAUUUUAAGGGUAUACAAGUGAUAAUUUUUAAAGGUAAAAUUAUCAAUUCGUUACUGUUCCGUUAACUUUCAAACGGCAACUAACGGUUUAGUGGACGGUAGAUAAUUUUUGUCAAUUUAAGGUGGACAAUUGAUAUAUUUUUAAAGUAUUAUAAUAUUUUAAAUAAAAAUACAAAUUUAAAGUAUAUGAAUGAUAAUUUUCUUAAAUUAAAAUAAGCAUAAAAUAGCUCGUUCUUAUCCACUCCCCUCGAAUCACAUGAUUACGAUUUUCAGACCCACAGGAUUAUUAUUACGCGCCAUCGCUCUAUGAUGAGACUCAACGAACGCAAAGCCCAUUCACUGUGACAGACUCGCAGGAGAGAGAUAUAAUCAAUCAUCAAGGUUCCAAGAAUGAAGAAGCUUGCGAAGAGCCACAGCCACGGUGAAAGAAACAAAUCAACAACAGAUCAGCAGAGUGACAAGAAAUCAGCAACUGGCAUGAACGGAUCACCCAAAAAGAAAGGACACGGAGGCAAGUACACGUGGUCAGGCGACGGUUACUCGCAGGCUGAGAUCGGCUUCGACGAAGCCAUCGAUGCUAAUGAUCCUAACUUUGAAGGUCCUGAAGAUCAGAAGGAGACCGUCGCCGUUUGAUUUUGUUUUUGAUUCUGAUGAUUUACUAGUUUAUGAUCGUCGCUGUUUAAUAUUUUAUUUAAUUUUUGCUCUUUCAAAAAGAUGAGAUGAGAUUUAGAUGUACAUACCUUGUGAUUUCGUCUUUCAAUAAAAUCCAUACGUCUUUCUUCUGCAAUUAAUCGGCUAAUGUCAGAUUUAGAUUCAACUUUUCUCUAAUUGUAGAUAUACAAUUGCGUUACAUUAUGUUGAUAUAUGAGGGACUAUGAUAAUGAAACUAUAAUAAACAAUAGGUGAAUAAGGCAAAACAUGUUAUCUUACCACCCCAGCAGAAGCCCACAGCCCCAGUUGCANNNNNNNNNNNNNNNNNNNNNNNNNNNNNNNNNNNNNNNNNNNNNNNNNNNNNNNNNNNNNNNNNNNNNNNNNNNNNNNNNNNNNNNNNNNNNNNNNNNNGGUGUACAUAAUUUUAAAUUUUCAAUUAGAUACCCCCUGAAUAUGUUUACCAGUGAUUGAGGCAGGUUCCAAAAUGUACAAAUUUUUCUUAACCCGAAGAAGAGCAUGAAUAAUAAUAGCAAAGACAAAGACACGUAGAAUCAUAAAUUAAGAUAAGCUCACAAAACAAAUCAAUUAGCUGUGGAUGCAAGAGAAAGAAAUUAGAGCAAGUCAUACCUCAAGUUUGGAGCUUCAUAACCUGCAAGAUAAGGCGAAGACAAGUAAGAAUUAGAAGGCGAAGACAAGAAAGAAUUAGAAGCUUAUAGAGGCAGAAGAAUAAAGGUGAACAAAAUAGGUAGAGUCAAUACGAAAUGAAAUGGAGGACAAAGAGAACCGACAAACACCCUGAUUAACCAAUCAAAAGAUGCAUAAACACAAGCAACCCGGAUGAUAAAUUGAAGUGAGAGAAACAAAAUUACCUAGUGAAAACAAGAAAUGGAAAAAACAGUGAAACAUACACACAGCAAAAGACUAAAACAAAAGCAGCCCAGAUGUAAUUUGCCCAAAUAAACACAACCCAGAUCAUAAUUUGCAGUGAAAAUAUAAGAAGUGAAUGGACAUGAUACUGAGAUGGGUCAGGUACCGAAAACGUCGGAAAUGAGAAGAGCAGCAAGCUUGGAGUCAGGAGAGCCAGUGAUGUAAGUGUUGAGUCCACCAAGUUUCUCAACAUGACCUGCUCCACCGUUUGGAUUCAGUGUUGGUGGAUUUGCACAGCACUGAGGGCCUGACAUUUUUCUCCUGCUUAUGCUUAACCUUCCUUACACUACUGUUCAGAAAACGCUCUCUUCUUCUAUCACAAACGCGUAUGAUUGUAUAUCUAUUUAUAUAGAGUUUCAGCAUGUUCACUGCCGGGACUCUAUUUCCCUCCCAAUUGUUUAUACUUUCAAAAAGAAACAUGUGGGUUAUGGUUCGUGAGAGUUAUAAAUUAUUAUGCCGGAAGCCUGCGUCACGGCGUUGCAUCUUUCUAUUUAGCUUCCGACAUUUUUUAGUUAGAGUUAUGUAGCUUCCGACAUUUUUUUAUUUGGAGAGUAACAAUUUCUUAUUUUUCUUGGGCCACACGCCACUCCGUUUUAUGUAUAGGUUCGUUGAUUCGGAAGAACAAUGCUUGCUUGGUCCUUGCCACGAAUCUUUUGCAUCAAGUAAUUAUUUAUUUAUUGGUGAUUGGCAUUUAUUUAUUUUGCUUUUAAUUUUACUUGGAAGGUAACAAUUUGUGCUUUUUCUUUGGUUCUUAUCAUGCCACUUCAUAUAUAAAAGUUCGGAAUACUGUUUGGUCCAUGCCACUAAUCUCUGCAUAAAAUUUAAAUAAUAGAACGAUCAGCAUUAUAACAUUUUUUAACUUUGACAGAAACCUGUUAAUUUCUUAAUUUGACCAAUUGGUUUUGCAAAUAAUUUUAUUUGACUAGCGUUCCAGAUCCUUAUACCCACUAAUUCAUGAGUCGUUAAUAAAUUAUGGAAUUUUAUAAGUUUAAAUAUUUAUUUAGUAUAACUUAUAAUACAACCAUUAGUAUUUAUUUACUCUUAAUUUUUUUCAAAAUGAUUUAUGAGUAUUUAUUUCUAUUUUCAGAAUAAAUAUUAUUAUGUUAAGAACUAAAUAAAUUAUUUUACAUCUACUAAUAAAAGUUCAAAGAGAUUUAAAAAAAAUAAACAACUUAUAGCCUAUUUAAAAAGUUCAGUUGUCUAAAAUAUUCAUUAUUUAUUUACACUUUUAUUUCAUUGUUUUCAUAUUAUAAUUUUCAAAAUUAUCUAUUAAUAUAAUUUUAUAAAUUUUAAUUAAUGAGUAAACAACUAAUUUUUUUUAACUGAAAACCUAAUAAAAAUCCUAAAUGAAUAAACUUUAUUUGAGAAGCUAUAUGCCUAAAUUCAUCAAAAUUAUUCACACUUAAAGCAAAAUUGAUUAGAGUUAAGCAGCACUACAUAUAUUUUCGAGAAAUAUAUUAAGACAAGUUAAACAAAAUGAAUUUUCAAAUAAUAGAUUUUCUUUUUCAAAUGAAGAAGGGGCGCAAGCCCAGCGCCACAAAGAACCUUCAGCAAAAGCCUGACCACAUGCGGUGCCAAUUUUUCAUUCAUCAUAUCACGUAUAUUUUUAUUCAAUAUCACUAUGUCACUAAAUGUUGACAUAGUACUGAUUCGAUCAUUCAUCAGAUACAAUAACUAUCAACGAGAGUACCAAGGUUCACAGACACGAAGCAGCACAAUAAUCCAUUCCAUGCGGUUCCUCAGUUGACAUACUUGGCAAACCAUUCCAGCAUAUCUUGAUGAGCUUCCUCUGCACACUUCACAGCAGAUUUGUCUUCUACAUUGUAUCUCACCGUCCAUCCGUGAGAAACUUUUGGAAAUAUUUUCACAUACCCAUCAACCUGCUAACAAAUAUAUCACAAAUAAGAGAGUCAUCGAAACUGCUUUUAACCAUAGAUCAAGAUAACUUUGAAGCAGAAAUGAAACUUUGAUGUGAACUUGUUAAGUGUUGUUACGAAUACACAGAACAGAAGAGGUCCAGAUAAAUUAAACUUUACUGAUAUAUUGCUUUUAUUGGAAUGGAAGAUGAGCUCUCGAAAUUGAUGGAAAAACAGAAAAAAUGGUCGCAUUGUACAUGUUAUUAAAAAGCACUGAAUUUAUGUAUAUACAUAUAUAUACCUCAGAUUUAGCAGUUAAGACCUCUUCAAAUUGCUUCAAGAGAUCUGGGGGAGAAAUCUGAUCAAACUCAGCUCCCAGUACUGCAGUGGGAACCUCAACCGCUGAAAGCAAUACCAACCAAUAUGGUUUGUUACACCAAAUAAAACAAUGAAUAGUCCAACAAAAGAUUAAGAAACAAACUAAAACACUUUCCCAUCCGCAUGCAAUAUAAUAAUCAUAACUUUUAUAAAGACUUGUAUGUAAACUAUGUGUACACUCAACAAUAAGCAUUUCUCGCCUAGGAACACACACUGAAAGGGGGAAAAUCCAUGAAUCCGUACCCUUGAUAUCAUCUACAGUUACGAAAGAGGGAUGUAACAGCACAGCAGCUUGGAUGAACUCGCGCUUCGCUAGUUGAACUGCUACUUUAGCUGAGAAUAAAAGUUAGUUAAUAGCGGUCAGUUCAAUGAUCAAUGGUGAAAAUCAAGGAUUUAUACCUUCAAAGUCUAUCUAGUUGAAAUAUGAGAGACUUGAUAAUGAAACCAUCAUGAAAAGAAUACAUGAGCAAGGGAAAACAUGUAUCUUACCACCCCAGCAGAAGCCUGCAGCACCAAUUGCAGUUAUACCUUUGCUCUUAAUAGCGUGAAUAACUGGCUUUGCCUCUUCAAAUGCCUUAUCCUAUAAGAAAAAUAAAUGGCUAGCCCAGUCACUGAAAAGUUUAACACGAGGGACCAACCACAACAUAUAGAUUCAAUACGUCAUAUUAGAACAGUGUAUACAACGAUGUAGUUCAGAAUUAGUACAUUAAUAACAAUAGACCGAUUGGGUAGCUAGAUCCAAUCCACUCACCAAUCAAGACAGCUCAAAAUAUGAAAAUAUAUAACAGCACUAAGAGUGACGAAAUCAAAACGGCCCCAUGCAACAAAAUUAAAUGGUCAAAUAAGUUUUGUAGAGUAUCACAAGUACAGAACCAACCGUUCCAUGAUCUUUAAUCCAAUCUUGUAGUGUUCUUCCAGCAUUAGGCACAUAAGGAUCUCCGUGAAGGAAGUCAGGAACUGCCACAUAGAAUCCAGCUGCAGCAAUCUUGUCCGCAAGCUUCCUUAAAUUUAAAGCAUCUGAUAUCUGAUGUUAGCUCCCAAAAAAGCACAGGGUAACAGUAUAAUAGCAAAUCAGCAAAUAAUCACAUAUAUCUUAUAUACGUAGAUGCCAACUCACAACACUGCUAGCCCCAAGUCAUUGUCAAAACCAUCAGUAAAUCCUCUAUUAGCAUCUUCAAAUAUGCUUCACUGGAUUAGUAAUUUCAGAAUCAUUACACUGACAAGACAAAUAAAUUUUCUUUCACGAUUGAGUUAAGGUCCAAACCGCAUGAAUUUUUCUCAAUCCAUUAAAGGUGUUAGCACAAAAGGAAAUUAAUAGGAAAGACAACAAAAAAGAAAAAAAAGAAAAGCAGAAUCAUAUAUCAAACAGAGCUUUUAAAAACGCAUCAAUAAGUUGUUAUAGCAAGCCAUACCUCAAGUUUGGAGCUUCAUAUACUGCAGGACGAGGCAAAAGAAAAGUAAAAAAAAUAAAAAUAGUAGUAAACAGAAAAAAGGUUGAACAACAUAGGUGUAUGAUCAAUAGGAAAUCAAACACGUGAUGUGCAAUCUACAUCUACUUAAGGUAUCAAUAAAAUUUUCAUAAAAAAGACAAACAAAGAAAAAAAAGGGGAAAAAUAAAAAACACAACCAUAUAGAUGGUAAAUUUAGGUUAAAAAAACAAAAUAAAGAACUGAAGAUUACCCAUUAACCAUUUCAAAACCACAAAGCAAACCCACAUAAAAACAAUUACAAAACUCAAGCAAAAUACUCAAACAAGAGCAACCCAAACGACAACAUAUUGCUCGAACAGAAACAACCCAGAUUAUACUUUGAUGUAAAAAAAGGAAAAAAUGAGGAGAUGUAAUGAGAUGGGUUAAAUACCAUAAACGUCGGAGACAAGAAGAACAGCAAGUUUUGAGUGAGGAGAGCCAUUGACAUAGGCGUUAAGUCCACCAAGGUUCUCAACGUGGCCUCCUCCAGCGGUUGGGUUCAAUGUUGGUGGAUUCGCACAACACUGAGGACCUGACAUCUCGUUUGUUCUGUUUAACCUUAAACUCCUGUCUGCAAAAUACUAUAUAUAUAUAUAUAUAUAUAUCGCUAGAGGGACCUAGAAAUAUAUCGACUUCUAGUGAGUUAUCUCCAGAACAAUUACCAGAGGUAUUACGAAUAAUCUGGUGCAACGAGUCAUCUGGUGCAAUAAAGUUCAGAAAAGUGCUUCGCAUCUCAUAUAAAGUAAGAAAAGUACAUCGCAUCAUCUUGGCGUCAGCUUGUCCAUGUAGGGCUUCAUUUCACUUUUCACGUUUCACACAAAAUGAAAAAAUGCAUAAUAAAUGUUGGUGACAAAUAGGAGGACUUGUGGAUGAGAAGUUAGCUUGAGUUAGCAGAUUGUAAGUUUAAUUGUUGUGAUAAAAAUGCACUGUUUAUUUUCUUUUAAACUUGUGUUCUUGUAACUUCUAUUGUAAGUUGUAUAUUUAUCCUCUUUAUAAAGUGUCUGUAAUCAGAUACGCAAAUAAUUUCAGAUCAGUUUAUGAUUUCCACUAUAAUUUCCACCGGAAGGUCUGGCAUCUUAUUACUUCGUUUUCCCAUCGAUUGAACAAACAAUUGAAAAUUAAUGAACUCUCUCUGGAACUAAAACAAAAGGAUGAUAAAAUAACUGAAUCCUGAUUAUGGUUAUAACUCUUAUAGAUGGUGCUUUGUGGGCGAGCAAUUAAAUUGCGAUUAAGAAUAGCCUUACGCCUUUUUUCUUUUUUUUAACUUUCUAUUGCAACUUAAGAGUUUAGAGGUUCUCGUGUGUCCAUCAUCAGUCCAUGUGAAUCGUUUAAAAAAGUAAAUAAAUACAUAAAUUGACUGUUUUCUUGGCAUGGACCAAACAGAACUGUUACCGUCCAAAUAUUCUGGGUAAUAUAUGCCCAUGAGCCUUAUAAUGAUAAAUUGCUUACUAGGCCCUGAACUUGUAUGGCUUUCUAGCAUCCCCUGAAGCCUAAACGUCUGCUUUGCACAUUUAGCCUGGAGGUUAGAAAGUGUAAUUGACUAAAGGUUAACAGCUUACUAAAUAUAUCUACAGUUUGAUCCUCAGCGCAUAUAUAACGAAUCUCAAUAUCUUUAUUCAAAAUUUUCUCAUACAAAGUGUAGGCCAAUUUCAAUGUUCUUUGUCCUGCCAUGAUUAACUACAUUAGAAGCCAAAGUUACUGCACCUGCAUUAUCACACCAAACAACUGGCAUAUGAAUUAGUUUCAUAUGCAAUUCUGUAAGCAAAGAUGUCAACCAAAUUAACUCUGUUGGCACACUUGCUAAGGCUUGAUGUUCAGAUUCACAACUUGAUAGAGCAACAAUAAAUUACUUUUUAGAAGACCAUGAUACUAGGCUGUUGCCUAAGUACACAAAAUAACCAUCAUCAGAACGUCGAUCAUCAAGGUCACAUGCCCAAUCAGCAUUCGUAUAGGCCAGAACUUCUAUUCUGUUUGCAAGCCUACCAAUACAACUUAUAAGGACACGUAAGAGAUUCACUAAGCUUAUUAACAACAUAUGCUAUCUCUGGUAUAGUCAAAAUUGUUAACACUUAAAGAAAAAUUGAUUAAAGUAUCACUACAUUUAUUUUCAAGAAAUAUAUUAAAACAAGUUAAACAAAAUGAACUUUUAAACAAUUGAAUAAAAUAUUGUUUCUUUUUUCAAAGAACCUUCAGCAAAAGCCUGACCACAUACGGUGCCAACUUUUCAUUCAUCGUAUCAUACAUGUUUUAUUCAAUUUUAAUUACAUGAACAUCAGGCACACUAAAUGUUGACAUACUUAUACAAUCCUUCAUCAGAUACAAUAACUAUCAACUAGAGUUCCAAGGUUUACACACAUGGAGCAGUACAAUAAUCCAUUCCAUGAGGUCCCUCGCUUGACGUACUUGGCAAACCAUUCCAGCAUAUUUUGAUGAGCUUCCUCUGCAUUCAUUUCAGGUGCGACGUCGGUUCGAUACAUCCGAUUUGAUCACAAGGAAAAAAAAAUAUGGAAUCGAAAGUACAUUGGAGAGCUGUUUUCGGAAUUAUUUGCGUAAUCUAGAAGGAACUAUUUUAAUUUUUAAUUUUAAAUAUACAUCCGAUUGCACAGCUUUAAGAUAUAUAUUUUUUAAUUUUUAAAUAUUACAAAAUCUCUACCGUAUGGGACCAUAUGUCGAAAUUAAUUAUUUAACUAAAAUAUAAACUAUCCGACUCUCUCAUAUUAUAAAUAUAAUCCAAAAUUCUAAAUUACAAAUCUACUCAUUCUCUGGUGACAAUAUCAUUACAAUAUAAAAAAUUAUAAAUUUUAAUACAUUAGAGGUUAUGAUUUUUUAUCUAUUAAUAUAGUGAAAUCUACCUUUUUCUCUAUUAGUUGCAUCUGCUGUACCGUACAUCCGCCUUGGCCGUACAGCAGGAAUAAGAUGUUAUUAAAUUGAUUGGACAGUUGAGAUAUCAAUUUAAUUAACGAUGUGGUACAAAGGAUUGUGCAGUAAAGAAAUCAAUGUGGCUUGGGACGAAUUAUUAUUCGAGCAUACAAUUAUGGAAGUCAGUUCCAAUAUUUUAGUGGAGUAGAUUUGGAAUUAAAUAAUUGGGCUAGUUUAAUUACAGACCUAAUUAUUGUAGCCACUAUUGUAUGUUCCCAAAUGAUCCCCAGGUUAGCUCAUUUAAUUGACUGCACUACUACUGGACUAAUAAGUAAGAUAAUUAGCUAUUUGGGUCAAAAGACUAAAUAUAUCAUUUAGUGGGAGGCUCCAUUUAAUUAGCUUUUGUGUAAAGGGCCUUAUGUUAUUUUACAAGGUGGGUCCCCUGUUGAAAAAGCAAAUAACGUGGAUUUUGUUUUUGAUUAUUUGGAGCCUAGGUUUUUCACUAAAAGGUGAUAUAAAAGGCUUAUUUUCUCUAAAGAAGAGGUGGUAGCCACUUUAUACAGAUUAGAGAAAAAUAUUUUUCUCUCUAUUGUUGAGAGAAAAAUUUUCUCGUGCUAGUUGCUUUGGUAGUGAUAAAGGCGCCGACACGUCAAGUGCAGAUCGAACCUGAGUCAUAACCUGGAAGAUCAUUGGUGACAGUUCGUGAUCUAACAAGCGUGGUGGUGACGGAUCGUGAUCUAACAGGAGUGGUGGUGGCGGAUCGUGAUCUAACAGGAGUAGUGGUUGCGGAUCGUGAUCUAGGAUCCUAAAUCACUUCAGCGGAAAAAGCCAACUCGGAUUUUCAAGGUACGAUUUCUGGAUUACGUAUUCCUAUAUAUUAUAUGAGAGCGGUCCUUAAAAGGUUUUAUAAAAUUUUAAAAACCUGAUUUUUCUCCAACACACUUCACAGCAGAUUUGUCUUUAUAAAGUCAGAGACAGAGAUUGUGAAAAGGAUUAUAUAUUACUGUAAAGCCAAACAAUUAUAUAUACCAGUUCAUGAAGCUGAAAAAGGAAAGUUACAGAGGAUUCCUUAGUCAAUGGAAUUGCAGAGAUUACUCCUAAAGUCAAGCACAAUCAUGUGAAUCAUCUUAAUUGAAGGAGGAGAUUGAUUCUAUCCUUUUAUGCCCCCGCAAGAUGGUGCCAUCAAUGACACCAAUCUUGGAUCGAAUUAAGGCAAAACGAGACUUAGCUAAUGGUUUUGUAAGGACAUCCGCUAGUUGAUCGUUGGUGGAGACAUGAGCAACUUGGAGAGAGCUAGCUGAAACUUUUUCACGCACAAAAUGAUAGUCGAGGGCAAGAUGCUUCAUCCGUGAAUGAAAUACCGGAUUGACACACAAGUAUGUGGCACCUAUAUUGUCACAUAAUAGAUGAGGUGGCAGAGGGAGUUGGAGACGUAGCUCACUGAGAAGAUUUGUAAUCCAUGUAAGUUCGGCUACUGCUGAAGCAACUGUCCGUUAUUUUUUAGAGCACCAAGAAAUUGGGUUACCGCCAAGAAAAAUGAUAUAUGCUGAUAUUGAUGUGCAAUCAUCUCGGUUUCCUGCCCAAUCAGAAUCAGAAUAAGCUGUCAAGGUUAGUUGUCGAUGACGGUGGAGAUAAAGACCAUACGUAAUAGUGUGUUUGAGAUAUCGGAGUAGCCGUUUUGCUGCUGUCCAAUGAGUUUGACGCGGAGAGUGCAUGUACUGGGCUAACUUAUUGCUUGCAUAGGAAACAUCAGGACACGUGAGAGAUAAAUAUUGCAUUCCUCCAAUUAAGCUGCAAUAUCGAGAGGCAUCAAUUGGGGGAGAGCCAUCAUUAAGGAUGAGGUGAGUAAUGGAGCUAAGAGGAGUGGUUGUUUCUUUGAUACUUUCCAUGUUGAAUCGAGCAAGUAAGUCACGGAUGUAUUUCUGUUGAGAAAGAAAUAAUCCAUUACUUGUGGGAAUCAGCUCUACACCCAAAAAGAAAUUCAAUGGCCCAAGGUCUUUGAUUGAGAACUUGUGAGAGAGAGUGGUAAUGACGUGGCGAAUGAGAGUUAUAGAGUUGCCUGUGAUUAACAAGUCGUCUACAUAAACUAAAAAAUAAACACGAUAGAUUUGUUAGUAUAAUCAAAUAAAGAAGAGUCUGAGUGACAGUUCACAAAACCUUGAAAUAGAAUGAAGUUCUUAAGCUCGGUGAACUAAGCGCGAGGAGCUUGUUUUAAGCCGUAAAGAGACUUCUGCAAGCGGCAUACAUGGUGAGGUCGGGAGGGGUCAAUGAAACCGGGUGGCUGAGACAUGAAAACUUCCUCAUCAAGAUGCCCAUGAAGAAAGGCAUUAUUGACAUCUAGUUGAUUAAUUGGCCAACCAGAUGAGAUUGCAAUAGAUAGAACAACUUAAAUAGUUGUGGGUUUUAUCACUAGACUAAAAGUCUCAGUAUAAUCUAAACCAGGACGUUAAUUGAAUCCCUUGGCAACUAGACGAGCCUUAUAUCUAGCAACACUCUCAUCAGGAUUUCGUUUGAUUCGAAAAACCCAUUUACAGCCAACCACAUUGUGAUGAGAUUCUCGAAGCACUAGAUCCCAUGUUCCAUUUUUGGCAAGAGCAUGCAGCUCUUCACGCAUAGCAUUUGUCCACUCUUUCUGUUUAAGGGCUUGGGAGACAGAGGUUGGUUCUAGUGAUAAUGGUAUAAGAUGCUUUGUCGCAGUAAGGGUGAAUAUAGUUUUUGGCCUGAAAAUAUUAUUUUUUUAGCNNNNNNNNNNNNNNNNNNNNNNNNNNNNNNNNNNNNNNNNNNNNNNNNNNNNNNNNNNNNNNNNNNNNNNNNNNNNNNNNNNNNNNNNNNNNNNNNNNNNNNNNNNNNNNNNNNNNNNNNNNNNNNNNNNNNNNNNNNNNNNNNNNNNNNNNNNNNNNNNNNNNNNNNNNNNNNNNNNNNNNNNNNNNNNNNNNNNNNNNNNNNNNNNNNNNNNNNNNNNNNNNNNNNNNNNNNNNNNNNNNNNNNNNNNNNNNNNNNNNNNNNNNNNNNNNNNNNNNNNNNNNNNNNNNNNNNNNNNNNNNNNNNNNNNNNNNNNNNNNNNNNNNNNNNNNNNNNNNNNNNNNNNNNNNNNNNNNNNNNNNNNNNNNNNNNNNNNNNNNNNNNNNNNNNNNNNNNNNNNNNNNNNNNNNNNNNNNNNNNNNNNNNNNNNNNNNNNNNNNNNNNNNNNNNNNNNNNNNNNNNNNNNNNNNNNNNNNNNNNNNNNNNNNNNNNNNNNNNNNNNNNNNNNNNNNNNNNNNNNNNNNNNNNNNNNNNNNNNNNNNNNNNNNNNNNNNNNNNNNNNNNNNNNNNNNNNNNNNNNNNNNNNNNNNNNNNNNNNNNNNNNNNNNNNNNNNNNNNNNNNNNNNNNNNNNNNNNNNNNNNNNNNNNNNNNNNNNNNNNAAAGAGUAUGGUUAUUGACUUUAUCAUGAUUUGUGCAUGUAGACAUAGAUGGAAAUAUACUUUCUUCGAAUUGGACAUGCCGAGAGUAAUAGAAUUUAUGGUCAAUGGGAUCAAAGCAAAUAUAUGCAUUGUGUAAAUUAGAGUACCCAAGAAAUAGACAGGCUUUUGACCGUUGUUCAAGUUUGUGUGUAUUAUAUGGACGAAGCCAUGGAUAACAUAAACACCCAAAAAAUUUUAAUUUAGAAUAAUUGGGAGAUGAAUGGAAUAAACACUCAAAGGGUGAUUUGUUUUGUAGGAUAGGUGUUGGAAGUCGAUUUAUUAGAUAGAUAGUAGUUUUGAAGGCAAAUGACCAAAGAGAUAAAGGCAAUGAUGCUCAAUGAAGCAUUGUAAGGCCAGUUUCGACAAUAUGGCGAUGACGGCGUUCGGCGGAAGCAAUGUGUUGAGGUGUAUAAGGAGGUGAAACCAAAUGUUGGAUUCCAUGAGUUUCAAAAACUGUUUUCAAACCUUGAUACUCUUUUCCCUCAUCAGUAUAAAUUGUAUUAAUGGAUGACUUAAAAUAUUUUUCAACCAUGACCUUAAACUUUGGAAAAAUGGAGAAGACAUCGGAUUUAUAUGUUAAAGGAAAUAACUAUGAAUAUUUGGUGAAAUGGUCUACAAAGAUAAUAUAAUAAGAAAAACCAUCCAUUGAUCUAAUUGGAGAAGGACCCCAUACAUCGGUGUAAAUAAGAUCUAAAGGAUAACGACUCUUUAAACUAGACUUGCCAAAGGGUAAUUUAUGGCUUUUAUUACACUGACAUGAAUCACAAAAUGACGACUUAGAAAAGGCUGGGAGAUUGUUUUGGGAGAUAGCUUGGUUGAGAAUUUUGGUUGAUGGGUGACCAAGUCUAUCAUGCCAAUGGUUAAGAGAGGCUUUAAUACUCAUGCAAGCUUGCUUCAUCAUACUUGUAGAGACAUCUCCAACAGACCACUCAUAGACAUUAUUCUUGCUUCGUCCCUCCGCGAGUAGUGCUCCCGUGGUUAGAUCCUUCACACAAAAGGAAGAGGGAUAAAAUUCAAUGGAUGCAUUAUUUGUUUUACAAAAUUGUGAGACAGAUAUUAAGUUUUGCUUCAUAGAUGGGACACACAAAACAUUCGAAAGUGAAAAUGAGUGAGAUGGAGUGGAAAGAGUGGACUUGCCAACAUGUGUAAUAUUUAGACCAGUGCCAUCACCGAUUACAAUGUCAUCAAGGCCUUCAUAUGGUUGACGAAGAGAUAAGUUGCUAAUGUCGGAAGUGACAUGAUGAGAUACUCCAGAAUCCAACAACCAAUUAGAUGCCAUGCUAUUGGAAGUGGUGGUUGGAUUUGCAGUAGGUGCUGAGGCUGUAAAAAAUAAUUUCUUUGCAGCAAUGCAUUGGCGUGCAGUGUGUCCCCGUUUCUCACAAAAUUGACAAAUCACAGUGGUAUUCUUGCCCGAAUUUGGAUUUCCAAAAUUAUUUGAAUUGAAAUUAUUACCUUGAUUUCCAAGGGUGCUGCCUUGAUUUCCAAAAUUGGGUUGUCGUUGGCUCUGGCUUCCUUUGUUGUUUUGGAAGUUUUUCUUGCCAAAUUGAUUACCAUUUUUUUAGGAAGAGAAACGGGUAGCAUUGGCAGUGAUAUUCCCAAGAUUUCCAGCAGAUCGAAGUUCCUCUCGUUUGAGAAAGGAUUCAUAUUCGACAAGUUUGUCGUGAAGUUCAUCGAAGCUGAUCAUGGUAUCUCUCGCCCGCACGGCAGCUGCAAGUUCCUUGAAUUCGGGACCCACGCCGUUGAGAGUGUGAGUAAUAAGGUAUUGAUUUGGAACAGGUGCUCCAAUUAAAGCCAAUUCAUCUGCAAUGUCGCGAAUAGUAGCAAGAUAUUCGACUACUGGUUGCGAGCCUCGACUAAUGAGGGUGAGUUGUUCUGUUAACCCCAUGGUUCUUGAGGAUGAAGGAUUGGCAUAAUUUUUUGCUAAACGUGUCCAGGCUUCUGCAGAAGUUUUGCAUGACCGAACCACAGGGACAACUUUGUGGCUAAGAGAGCCAAUUAUGCCGAGCAAAAGGAGUUUAUCUUGUCUUGUCCAAAGAAUAUACUCAGGAUUUGAGACUUUAUUGCCAUCAUUCUUAAUAUGUGAGGGAGGGCAAUGAUUUGUUCCAUCAAUAUACCCAACUAAAUCAUACCCAUAGAGCAAGGCAUCGAACUGUGAUUUCCAUGAGUAAUAAUUCGAAGGAGUCAACUUUAAAGGAAGUUGGUUUGCUACAUUGAUGGCUAUAAGGUUAUUUGGGUUUAGGGAGAUGUUGGUAGCUGUUUGAUUUGAAGAAGAAGUUGUUGAGUAUUCGUUGGUCAUGGUGGAAGUAUAAAGAAGAGAUUAAGACAAGGAUCAAUGACUCGUGUGAGUAAUAGCUUGCUCUGAUACCAUAUAAAGUCAGAGACAGAGAUUGUGAAAAGGAUUGAUAUAUUACUAUUCGAGGCACUAGGUCCCAUGUUCCAUUUUUGGCAAGAGCAUGCAGCUCUUCACGCAUAGCAUUUGUCCACUCUUUCUGUUUAAGGGCUUAGGAGACAGAGGUUGGUUCUAGUGAUAAUGGUAUAGGAUGUUUUGUCGCAGUAAGGGUGAAUAUAGUUUUUGGCCUGAAGAUAUUAUUUUUUGAGUGUGUUUGCAUUGGAUGAGAAGGAUGUGGAGUGUUGGUGUUUUCAGUUGGAUGAGAAGAAUUAUUACCAGGGAGCAACUCAUGGAUGGAGGAGUUCGAUAAAGUCUCGGGAGUGGUAGUCGGCAGAGAUUGAUCAUCGAUAAGCGGGAUAUCACAAACUUGCAUGGGUUCAUGAGUAUUGGAAUUUGGAGGGGAUGGUUGUGUGGGGCUAGACGCAAUUGAUAAAGGUAUAUUUGGAUUAUGCAUGGAGGUUGGUUCAUGUGAAUCAUGGGAUUGACUAUGAAAGGUGGUAGAAGUUGGGCCAUUUGGAGUAUUCAUGGAAAAAAGAUCACAUGAAUUGGGGGGAUGAGUGUGAAAGGGACGAAAUUUAGGAAUAGGAAUAUUGGGAUCCUGGGGGAUUGGCUGCCUGAGAGAAUUUUCCAAAUUGGGAGAAUCGGAAUUGGAAAAUAAAGGACUUGAUGGAGACGUAUAUUUGGAACACCAUUUGGAAAGAGUAUGGUUAUUGACUUUAUCAUGAUUUGUGCAUGUAGACAUAGAUGGAAAUAUACUUUCUUCGAAUUGGACAUGCCGAGAGUAAUAGAAUUUAUGGUCAAUGGGAUCAAAGCAAAUAUAUGCAUUGUGUAAAUUAGAGUACCCAAGAAAUAGACAGGCUUUUGACCGUUGUUCAAGUUUGUGUGUAUUAUAUGGACGAAGCCAUGGAUAACAUAAACACCCAAAAAAUUUUAAUUUAGAAUAAUUGGGAGAUGAAUGGAAUAAGCACUCAAAGGGUGAUUUGUUUUGCAAGAUAGGUGUUGGAAGUUGAUUUAUUAGAUAAAGAGCAGUUUUGAAGGCAAAGGACCAAAGAGAUAAAGGCAAUGAUGCUCGAUGAAGCAUUGUAAGGCCAGUUUCGACAAUAUGGCGAUGACGGCGUUCGGCGGAAGCAAUGUGUUGAGGUGUAUAAGGAGGUGAAACCAAAUGUUGGAUUCCAUGAGUUUCAAAAACUGUUUUCAAACCUUGAUACUCUUUUCCCCCAUCAGUAUAAAUUGUAUUAAUGGAUGACUUAAAAUAUUUUUCAACCAUGACCUUAAACUUUGGAAAAAUGGAGAAGACAUCGGAUUUAUAUGUUAAAGGAAAUAACCAUGAAUAUUUGGUGAAAUGGUCUACAAAGAUAAUAUAAUAAGAAAAACCAUCCAUUGAUCUAAUUGGAGAAAGACCCCAUACAUCAGUGUAAAUAAGAUCUAAAGGAUGAUGACUCUUUAAACUAGACUUGCCAAAGGGUAAUUUAUGGCUUUUAUUACACUGACUUGAAUCACAAAAUGAUGACUUAGAAAAGGCUGGGAGAUUGUUUUGGGAGAUAACUUGGUGGAGAAUUUUGGUUGAUGGGUGACCAAGUCUAUCACGCCAAUUGUUAAGAGAGGCUUUAAUGCUCAUGCAAGCUUGCUUCAUCAUACUUGUAGAGACAUCUCCAGCAGACCAUUCAUAGACAUUAUUCUUGCUCCGUCCCUUCGCGAGUAGUGCCCUCGUGGUUAGAUCCUUCACACAAAACGAAGAGGGAUAAAGUUUAAUAGAUGCAUUAUUUGUUUUACAAAAUUGUGAGACAAAUAUUAAGUUUUGCUUCAUAGAUGGGACACACAAAACAUUCGAAAGUGAAAAUGAGUGAGAUGGAGUGGAAAUAGUGGACUUGCCAACAUGUGUAAUAUUUAGACCAGUGCCAUCACCGAUUACAAUGUCAUCAGGGCCUUCAUAUGGUUGACGAAGAGAUAGGUUGCGAAUGUCGGAAGUGACAUGAUGAGAUGCUCCAGAAUCCACCAACCAAUUAGAUGCCAUGUUAUUGGAAGUAGUGGUUGGAUUUGCAGUAGGUGCUGAGGUUGUAAAAAAUAAUUUCUUUGCAGCAUUGCAUUGGCGUGCAGUGUGUCCCCGUUUCUCACAAAAUUAACAAAUCACAGUGGUAUUCUUGCUCGAAUUUGGAUUUCCAAAAUUAUUUGAAUUGAAAUUAUUACUUUGAUUUCCAAGGGUGCUGCCUUGAUUUCCAAAAUUGGGUUGUCGUUGGCUCUGGCUUCCUUUGUUGUUUUGGAAGUUUUUCUUGCCAAAUUGAUUACCAUUUUUUGAGGAAGAGAAACGGUAGCAUUGGCAGUGAUAUUCCCAAGAUUUCUAGCAGAUCGAAGUUCCUCUCGUUUGAGAAAGGAUUCAUAUUCGACAAGUUUGUCGUGAUGUUCAUCGAAGCUGAUCAUGGUAUCUCUCGCCCGCACGGCAGCUGCAAGUUCCUUGAAUUCGGGACCCACGCCGUUGAGAGUGUGAGUAAUAAUGUAUUGAUUUGGAACAGGUGCUCCAAUUAAAGCCAAUUCAUCUGCAAUGUCGCGAAUAGUAGCAAGAUAUUCGACUACUGGUUGUGAGCCUCGACUAAUGAGGGUGAGUUGUUCUGUUAACCCCAUGGUUCUUGAGGAUGAAGGAUUGGCAUAAUUUUUUGCUAAACGUGUCCAGGCUUCUGCAGAAGUUUUGCAUGACCGAACCACAUGGACAACUUUGUGGCUAAGAGAGCCAAUGAUGCCGAGCAAAAGGAGUUUAUCUUGUCUUGUCCAAAGAAUAUACUCAGGAUUUGAGACUUUAUUGCCAUCAUUCUUAAUAUGUGAGGGAGGGCAAUGAUUUGUUCCAUCAAUAUACCCAACUAAAUCAUACCCAUAGAGCAAGGCAUCGAACUGUGAUUUCCAUGAGUAAUAAUUCGAAGGAGUCAACUUUAAAGGAAGUUGGUUUGCUACAUUGAUGGCUAUAAGGUUAUUUGGGUUUAGGGAGAUGUUGGUAGCUGUUUGAUUUGAAGAAGAAGUUGUUGAGUAUUCGUUGGUCAUGGUGGAAGUAUAAAGAAGAGAUUAAGACAAGGAUCAAUGACUCGUGGGAGUAAUAGCUUGCUCUGAUACCAUAUAAAGUCAGAGACAGAGAUUGUGAAAAGGAUAAUAUAUUACUGUAAAGCCAAGCAAUUAUAUAUACAAGUUCAUGAAGCUGAAAAAGGAAAGUUACAAAGGAUUCCUUAGUCUAUGGAAUUGCAGAGAUUACUCCUAAAGUCAAGCACAAUCAUGUGAAUCAUCUUAAUUUAAGGAGGAGAUUGAUUCUAUCCUUUUACUUUUUAAGCAUGUCCCCAGGAUUCCUGUCACUAUGAAUCUUCAAUAAUCUGAUAUAACCCUUCAAAAUUUAAAAGCUAAUAAAAAAGCAACUUGAUAUCUCUGUGUUUUGUAUUUUCAUGUUGAGCUUUAGAGUGGGACUAUUGGCAUCCCACCUUCGUAUUUGACCUGGAACCACUUCACUGCAUCUUCCUUGGUGACACGGUCCAGAACAACUGGUUCUCUAGGCUGUUUUAUUUAUUUUUUAAAAUUUGAUAUUCCCAAGAUUUCCAGCAGAUCGAAGUUCCUCUCGUUUGAGAAAGGAUUUAUAUUUGACAAGUUUGUCAUGAAGUUCAUCGAAGUUGAUCAUGGUAUCUCUCGCCCGCACGGCAGCUGCAAGUUCCUUGAAUUCGGGACCCACGCCGUUGAGAGUGUGAGUAAUAAGGUAUUGAUUUGGAAUAGGUGCUCCAAUUAAAGCCAAUUCAUCUACAAUGUCGCGAAUAGUAGCAAGAUAUUCGACUACUGGUUGUGAGCCUCGACUAAUGAGGGUGAGUUGUUCUGUUAACCCCAUGGUUCUUCAGGAUGAAGAAUUGACAUAAUUUUUUGCUAAACGUGUCCAGGCUUCUGCAGAAGUUUUGCAUGAUCGAACCACAGGGACAACUUUGUGGCUAAGAGAGCCAAUUAUGCCGAGCAAAAGGAGUUUAUCUUGUCUUGUCCAAAGAAUAUACUCAGGAUUUAAGACUUUAUUGCCAUCAUUCUUAAUAUGUGAGGGAGGGCAAGGAUUUGUUCCAUCAAUAUACCCAACUAAAUCAUACCCAUAGAGCAAGGCAUCGAACUGUGAUUUCCAUGAGAAAUAAUUCGAAGGAGUCAACUUUAGAGGAAGUUGGUUGGCUACAUUGAUGGCUAUAAGGUUGUUUAGGUUUAGGGAGAUGUUGGUAGUUGUUUGAUUUGAAGAAGAAGUUGUUGAGUAUUCGUUGGUCAUGGUGGAAGUAUAAAAAAGAGAUUAAGACAAGGAUCAAUGACUCGUGUGAGUAAUAGCUUGCUCUGAUACCAUAUAAAGUCAGAGACAGAGAUUGUGAAAAGGAUUAUAUAUUACUGUAAAGCCAAGCAAUUACAUAUACAAGUUCAUGAAGUUGAAAAAGGAAAGUUACAGAGGAUUCCUUAGUCUAUGGAACUGCAGAGAUUACUCCUAAAGUCAAGCACAAUCAUGUGAAUCAUCUUAAUUUAAAGAGGAGAUUGAUUCUAUCCUUUUAGUCUUCUACAUUGUAUCUCACUGUCCAUCCGUGAGAAAAUUUCAGAAAUAUUUUCACAUACCCAUCAACCUGCUAACAAGUAUCACAAGUAAAAGAGUCAUCGAAACUGCUUUUAACUAUAGGUCCAGAUAACUUGAGGCAGAAAUAAAACUUCAAUGUGAACCUGUUAAGUGUCAUUACGAAUGCACAGAUCAGAACAUGUCCAAAUAAUGAACUUUACCGAUAUAUUGCUUUAAUUGAAAUGGUCACAUCAUACAUAUUAUUAAAAAUCACGGAAUACACACACACACACACACACAUGCAUACCUCAGAUUUAUCAGUUAAGACCUCUUCAAAUUGCUUCAAGAGAGCUAGGGGAGAAAUCUGAUCAAACUCGGCUCUUAGUACUGCAAUGGGAACCUCAACCGCUGAAAGUAAUACCAAAGAAUAUGGUUUGUUACACCAAUGCAACAAUAAAGACCAAUUGAAUAGUCCAACAAAAGAUAAAGAAACAAACUAAAAGACUUUCCCAUCUGCGGUGCUGAGGCUGUAAAAAUAAUUUCUUUACAGCAAUGCAUUGGCGUGCAGUGUGUCCCCGUUUCUCACAAAAUUAACAAAUCACAGUGGUAUUCUUGCUCGAAUUUGGAUUUCCAAAAUUAUUUGAAUUGAAAUUAUUACCUUGAUUUCCAAGGGUGCUGCCUUGAUUUCCAAAAUUGGGUUGUCGUUGGCUCUGGCUUCCUUUGUUGUUUUGGAAGUUUUUCUUGCCAAAUUGAUUACCAUUUUUUGAGGAAGAGAAAUGGGUAGCAUUGGCAAUGAUAUUCCCAAGAUUUCCAGCAGAUCGAAGUUCCUCUCGUUUGAGAAAGGAUUUAUAUUUGACAAGUUUGUCAUGAAGUUCAUCGAAGUUGAUCAUGGUAUCUCUCGCCCGCACGGCAGCUGCAAGUUCCUUGAAUUCGGGACCCACGCCGUUGAGAGUGUGAGUAAUAAGGUAUUGAUUUGGAAUAGGUGCUCCAAUUAAAGCCAAUUCAUCUACAAUGUCGCGAAUAGUAGCAAGAUAUUCGACUACUGGUUGUGAGCCUCGACUAAUGAGGGUGAGUUGUUCUGUUAACCCCAUGGUUCUUCAGGAUGAAGAAUUGACAUAAUUUUUUGCUAAACGUGUCCAGGCUUCUGCAGAAGUUUUGCAUGAUCGAACCACAGGGACAACUUUGUGGCUAAGAGAGCCAAUUAUGCCAAGCAGAAGGAGUUUAUCUUGUCUUGUCCAAAGAAUAUACUCAGGAUUUAAGACUUUAUUGCCAUCAUUCUUAAUAUGUGAGGGAGGGCAAGGAUUUGUUCCAUCAAUAUACCCAACUAAAUCAUACCCAUAGAGCAAGGCAUCGAACUGUGAUUUCCAUGAGAAAUAAUUCGAAGGAGUCAACUUUAGAGGAAGUUGGUUGGCUACAUUGAUGGCUAUAAGGUUGUUUAGGUUUAGGGAGAUGUUGGUAGUUGUUUGAUUUGAAGAAGAAGUUGUUGAGUAUUCGUUGGUCAUGGUGGAAGUAUAAAAAAGAGAUUAAGACAAGGAUCAAUGACUCGUGUGAGUAAUAGCUUGCUCUGAUACCAUAUAAAGUCAGAGACAGAGAUUGUGAAAAGGAUUAUAUAUUACUGUAAAGCCAAGCAAUUACAUAUACAAGUUCAUGAAGUUGAAAAAGGAAAGUUACAGAGGAUUCCUUAGUCUAUGGAACUGCAGAGAUUACUCCUAAAGUCAAGCACAAUCAUGUGAAUCAUCUUAAUUUAAAGAGGAGAUUGAUUCUAUCCUUUUAGUCUUCUACAUUGUAUCUCACUGUCCAUCCGUGAGAAAAUUUCAGAAAUAUUUUCACAUACCCAUCAACCUGCUAACAAGUAUCACAAGUAAAAGAGUCAUCGAAACUGCUUUUAACUAUAGGUCCAGAUAACUUGAGGCAGAAAUAAAACUUCAAUGUGAACCUGUUAAGUGUCAUUACGAAUGCACAGAUCAGAACAUGUCCAAAUAAUGAACUUUACCGAUAUAUUGCUUUAAUUGAAAUGGUCACAUCAUACAUAUUAUUAAAAAUCACGGAAUACACACACACACACACACACAUGCAUACCUCAGAUUUAUCAGUUAAGACCUCUUCAAAUUGCUUCAAGAGAGCUAGGGGAGAAAUCUGAUCAAACUCGGCUCUUAGUACUGCAAUGGGAACCUCAACCGCUGAAAGUAAUACCAAAGAAUAUGGUUUGUUACACCAAUGCAACAAUAAAGACCAAUUGAAUAGUCCAACAAAAGAUAAAGAAACAAACUAAAAGACUUUCCCAUCUGCGUGCAAUGACCAGAACUAUUAUAAGGACUUACAUGUAAAUUACUGGGUACACAUUCAUCUAUAAGCUAUUCCGUGCCUAAAAACACACACUGACAAGCAAAAAAUCUAUGAAUCCAUACCCUCAAUAUCAUCUACAGUUACGAAAGAGGGAUGUAACAACACAACAGCCUGGAUGAACUCAUGCUUCGCUAGUUCAACUGCUACUUCAGCUAAGAAUAAAAGUUAGUUGAUAGCGGUCAGUUCAAGAUAUCACUGUUAUUAAGUAUAUUACAUCCCUACCCUUAAUUUUCAUUCAUUUUAUAAUAAUACCCUUACUUUUCUUUCCCUUUAACUAGAGGUGGCAAAACAACUAAACGAAUCGAAUUCGAAUCGAAUCGUAAACGAAUUGGGUUAAAAUUCUACUGAUUUGGAUUCGAUUUGUUUAUUAAAUGAAUAUUCGGUUUGAUUCGUUUAAUUCAAUUAAUGGAACUAAUAAACGAAUCUAAUCUAAUUCGGAUUCAUUUAUUUGUUUAUCCUAUUACUAUUCCAUAAUGAAUUAAAUCAAAUCAGGAUUGUUUACAAUUCAUUUAGAAAAAAUAAUUAAUAAACAAAAUUAAGCAAAAUAAAAUAUAAAAAAGCCACAAAUUUAGUAUCCUACAACAAAUACAAAUAAUACAAACCACAUUCUAAGAUUAAAUACACAGUCAUCUAAAUUACAAUAUUAACUUUCAAAUUUUAAAAAUUUUCAAAUAAAUUGAAGGACAAAAAAAUAAUUUAAUGAAACGAAUUUUAAACGAAUCAACAUGUAUUCGAUUCGUUUAUGACCCGUUUAUUAAAUGAAUCCUAAAUGAAUAAACGAAUCCAUAUCUUUAAAUCUAGAUUCGAUUCAUUUAAUUAGCGAAUCGAAUCGAAUUCACCUAUUUAUUUAACGAAUCAAUUUUUUCAAACCUAAACCCAUUUAAUUCGCAUCGAAUGGAAUCGAAUAAACGAUUUCUGACCCAUAUUGCCACCCCUACUUUUAACUAACAAAGGAAAUUUUUUUAAUACUAUCAUGGAUCAUUUACAGAAAAACGUGGGUCUCUAUAACAAUAGACUAUAGUUUAAUAGUACAAGUAUGUACUAAAGAAAUUGUACAUAAACACAUGCACAAUAAACUACAAGUAUGCACUGAUAAAGAUCACUAAGAUCCCAAAUAUCUUUCUCAAUCAACCCCAAUAUAAAUCAAAACCAAGGUAAUAUCAUGCAUAUAAAUGUGGCAACUAUUAUUGCCAUUGUGACAUGUACAGAUGUCAAGUAUCACGGCCAAUAUGGUAUCAAAAUAUAGAAGAAAUCCUCAAUUUAUAGUGAAUGAUUAUUUUCCUUUUAUGUAAUCUAUGUGCAUUCUCUUAUAAAUUGGGCAUUUGAGCUUUGAAUAAAAAUGAAAUUUCUAUUUUGUAUAUUGUUUCUAAAAAGUUUUCAUACACAAAGUAAGGUCGCCGAUCACUUCGUCAACUCCAGCGUACUUAUUUCGACUAUAUUUCCAAGUAUUUCAACAACAAUGCGGCAAGCACGCCAAUCACACAAACAAGUCCUUCUCUAGUACGGGGCCUCACUUUUUCAUGCGGUUACACUUCUAAACCACGAAGUUUAAUAGAGUGAAAGUGUAACGCUAUUAAACUACACAACCUUAAAGCACAUUCAAAAGUAACUUUAUUAAAUUGCAAGACUUAACAGCAUGUCUGCAUGUAGGGAUAGUAGAAUAACCCAUAUCUAGAUGAACCCGGAAAAUUCAGGUCAGAUUCAACCCAUACCGUAGCAAAAUAUAUUUGGUAUUUGGAUGUUAUUUUAUGAACCCAGUCGAAUCCAAGUCCGGGUCCUGUUUUAGGUAAAUCCGGAUAUCAAGAACCCAGACCCAGAUUAUUUUAUUUUAAUAUUUAAUUAAUUAUUUUUAAAUAUUAUUUAAUUAGUUAUUGUUAAUUAUUAUUUAUGAGUAUAAAAGCAAAAUGAGAAAAACAAAACAAACCCUACAUUUCACACCCGCCGUUUUUAGUCCUAUUCAUUGCCUAAAUUUCAACAAAUGAAUUCAACAUCAUCGUCGUCGCCCAAUUGAUCAUCACCCAUCAAUCAUUAGCAACACAACAUCCCCGCCGUGGCCACACUUCUGUGCAAGUUUCAAGAAUGGACUUGAUACCAAGGCAAAGAAGUCAAGGAAGCAAUUGACGGAAACAAAGAACAUGGCUAAGAAGAUCAGUGGUGUAAAGAAGACCAAGGCCUUAGAUGCUGCCGAGAAGAAGUGAACAAUUCAUUCUUUUGUGGUGUCGAAGCCAACUUUCGGUGAUGGAGUUCUAUGAUAGUCUUUGUUGGUAUAGUUUCUAAAAUGAAAUAUAUUGUGUUGUGGAUUUUGGUGUUAUUUGAUGUUUAUGUAGUUAUAUUUCUAGAUUUUGAGUACUAAAAAAGAAAAAAAAAUCGUUUAUAUUGAGAUUUUGGUUGUCGGAAUCAUUGGGUUUUAUUUCCAGUUUAUGUGAUUCCCCAUCUUCCUCAUCUAUUUCAAGAGAUCCAUGACUUUAUUCUAUCUCCUUCUGCAAUUUCCAAACAGCACAAAAGCGGAAUGCUUGAUUUGUUUUUUAAUUUUGGGCAUUCAGUACUUCGAUCCGCGUUUGGAACCCGGAAUCUAGAAAUCCAAAUUUUUUCAGGUUGAGCCCAUACUGGAUCAAGAGCCUAAAAAUGGGGUUUAUAUCCAAAUUCGGUAUGCUAAAUUAUCAUUCGAGUUCGGAACUGAAAAGCCUAAACUCGGAUUCGAAUUUUGCCAUCCCUAUCUGCAUGAAAAAAAGAGAGGGCGCCAGCACUUGAGAAUGAUAAUAUAUACACAGAUAUAUAUGUGUACAUACCUGUAUAUAGUCCUUUAUUAAUGUGAGCGCCCUCAUUGUUUUUUCAUCUAUCACGUUAUAUAAUCAUGCAAUUUAAUACAAUUAUUUUGAUUAACUAUUGAACUACAUGGCGUUUUAUAGUAUGUCCACCAAAUAGGGUGUCUGCAUCUUAUAUCAUUAAUAAUCAAAGAAAAAAAUUUAAUAUGGAAUCAUAUGAAGUGAUUAUUAAGACUGACAGUGAGAUUCAUUCUUCUAAAUUAUUGCUUGAUGCGUCACAUUAAGGGAUCUGUCCAUGACUAUGUAGAUGAGUCUGAAAACUUUGAUGAGACUGAAAAGUUUUAGCUUUGAAAUUUGUAGAGGAUGUUAGUGCUAACACAUAUAAGAGAUCGAAUGCCUUUGCACUCCAACUAUACCUUAGUGUAUGCCGCCUCUUUAGCAACAGAAGUUGAAUGCCAACUUUGGGAAGAAUUUAAAAAGCAUUUGGAUAAGCUUGCGAAGAAAUUCAUUGACAAUGCAACCUCAAAAUUGCGUGAGAACAUGGCCAGAAAUGUCUCCAAGAAGGUAAUUGGACAGGUCCAUGACAACAUGAGAUUUCAAAUGUCGAUCAGGAAGUAAUUAGAGAGACGUCUGAAAUUGCAAAGGAAGGGGUAAAGUCCAAUCUUGAUUUGAGCAUUGAUUUUAACAGUAUGGUUGUUACGGUUCUAUCAAUCUCUAUAUUGAAGCUAGAGAACUGUUCUAGAAGAAGACCUUACGGUAAAUAUUAAGUUAGGUGACAACAUUGAGCAAGAUUUAGAGAAAGACUCAAGAGGCUUCCAAGUGAUUAUUGAGUCCAAUACGGCCUUAUUGCAUUUUUUCAGUUUGUUAAACGACCCAAGAUUAUCUCCUUGCCCAUCGCUUUAGAUAAUUCAGACGUUGAUUAUUGGCGAUAAUGUCCUUAAUAAAAUGCUUUUCAUCAAAUUUCAUCUUUUGAUCAAGAACAUACAAACAGCUACAGUUUGACUUUGUUUAUUUAAUUAAUUUGGUCUCUAACUAGUUAUUCAUUCUCCUUUCUAUUUUUAUUUGAAUAAUUGAUUUAAUAUUGCAGCAUUUUUUGGUUUAGAGCAUAGAAAUAAAAAGGCAUCUCGAUGAAAAUGAUAGAAAUUAAUUAAUUACCAUAUAGGUUUGUUAUUAGUUGUAGGGGUAGAGCUCAGAGUAAAUCUCGAGGGAGCUAAAUUCAAACAAGUAGCAAUAGGGGAUGGAUUUUAGAUGGUUUUUUCAUCUAUAGCUAUGGUGUAAUCCUGAAAAUUUAUAAAUUUUGCUUGUAACUGUAGUAAUUUUAAUUUGGAGAUUUUGAUUAAUAAUUGAGGCUAGUGUUACAAAUAAAGAAUAAAAUAAAAAAGUAAUUAACAAAAUAAAGAUCAAAGAGAUAGGUCUUAACUUCAUCAAAAUUUUAAAAAGCUAUUUGCUAUUUUAUUAGGAUGAAAAAGGAAAUACCAAAAUAAAGAUCAAACCCUUUAAAAAAAAAUAAUAGAUAAAUAUCAAACAAUUAGGCAACUUCAACUUUGUUUCACAAAAUAUAAAGCUCCAUUUUCAUCAUAUAUAUAAAGUUUACAAAUUAAUUGUGUAGGGGCCAAAUCAGUAUUUUUUUAUAUUUCCUUUAAAAAUUUCAAAAUUUUUUUAAAGCUUGCAGGUGCCUUGUCACUGCUAGUCUUAAGCACCCUCUGCUCCUAAUCAGAUGGAAAUUAUAAGUUAAUUUUCUUCAGACACUUAUAUCAUUUUGCAAUGCAAAUUAAUUACGGUAAACCUAAGUUUGAUUAAUUCCUGAGAGCUAGCUAGCUUCUGGUUAUAUAUAUAUAAUAACUAUUAAUUAACUAUUGAAGCAAAUAGUCUUUUAUAAAUAUAUAAAUGUCUUUUAUAAAUAUACCAAUGAGUUUAAUCUUAAAUUUUAUUGAAAUAUGAAAGUGAAUUCACGCAGCCCUUCAUACCCAAAAUGGAGUACCAAAAAUAAAAACAGAGACAAAAGUUAAACUAAAAAACAGCCGCAUGUACGUGAAGUCGUGGGUUCGUGGUCAUGGGUUCGAACCCCCACAUUGCAUUGUGGAGCUUUAAUUUUCUUCCUCAAUUUGAAUGAAGACAAUCUUUUUCCUUUUAAAAUGUGACUGGAGUAGACUUCCCUUAAAUAUUAAAGAGGAUAAAAAUCUGGGCGGACUUCAUAAAAAUUGAUGUAAAUUAGUUCCAGUAAUAAUCUGAUUUGUAAAUAUCAAUUGUAAUUCAUAUAAUAUGAGUUGUGCUCUUGAGCAAUAAUCUUGCGUAAUAAAAAAAACAUACCCGCACGCUAAAGCCAAAUUAACUUGAAAACAUACAUCAAGAAAUCUAAACAUUGCACACAGCUGAUAUAUUCUUCAUCUUCAGGAUAGCUAGGAUGUACGACUGCAGCCUCCUUCUGUGAAUAUAUUUGAAGUGUGCAAGCCUCACAUAAUUGAACAAGCGGCAAUAAUAUUUGCAAUGGGAAGUGCAGCUUCGAAAACUCUAAGUGCGACUUGCCAUGGAAACUAGAAAUCAAUAAAUAAUUUUAACAUGAAGAAAUUCACUAUCAGACUUUAGAUAGAUCAACAAGAAAUUCACUCCCAGAAUAUAUAAAAAUCAACACGGCUCCUCAGCACUAUAUCCAAAUUUAUAAAAAUGCUAUGCACCAAAUUAAAUAAUCGAGUAAUUAUUCAAAAUUAAUUAAUUAAAGUUUGGUCAAACUCACCCUUCCCACGACUGGGGUAUUUGAAUUGUAAGGAACAACUGCAAGAUUUGAAGGACUUUCUGAACGAUCGGGCCGACUCGUGGGGGUCCUGAUGCUUCUGAACAUUGAAGGCCUUUCUGAAUGUUCGGGCCGACUCGUGGGGGUCCUGAUGCUUCCUGAAUGAUCGGGUCUACUCGUGGGGGUCCUGAUGCUUCUGAACAUUGAAGGACUAUCUGAAUGUUCGGGCCGACUCGUGGUAGUUCCUUGGGUGCUGAUGCUUCUGAACGUUGAAGGACUUUCUGAAUGAUCGGGCUGACUCGUGGCAAUCCCUUGGGUGCUGAUGCUUCUGAACAUUGACUGCAAUCAAUUGCAGGUCAAUACAAGUUUUAUAAAUAGGCAAUUAAUUUCAAAAAUUAAAAUCUUCAAUUAGUAUAUAGGUGAAUGUUUUUUUAGUGCGUUAUAUUUUGAAUUAAGUGUCAACCCCCUUGUUUUGGGCUUAGAGGGCUUUGUUUCGCCUUCGGCUUCAACUACUUUUGCUUCGAAUAGAUGGCACCCAUUAUACGAGAUAAAAAAAAGACAUUCAAUUCUAUAUUUUAAAAAAAUACUAAAAGAUACUCCUACUAAUAAAUAUAUAACAUUUUCUCAUAUUUUUCUUUAGUUUUCCAAUAAUACUCUUGCAACAAUCUAAAAAAAUUAAUUAAUUAAUCUAUAAAAAAAGUUAAUUAGCAAAUUACCAAUAAUUAUCUGUCUAAAGAAAUUGAUAUUUUUCAGACACUUGCAAUAAUCUCUAAUAAAUAUUUAUAAAUAAAUAAAUUACCAACUUAAAGCUACAUUUAAUAUCUUGUUAAUAAUUGUAAAAAAAAUUAUAUUACCUAAUUAAUCCUAAAAGUAAAAUAAUAAAAAAAUUUAUUUUACUUUUAAUGUUAAUUUUUAUUUUACUUUUAAUGUUAAUUUAAUAAAUUAACUUUUUUUUUCUUUUCGUUAGCAUCACCAAAAAUAUUAUUGCAUGGAUAUUAUCAUUAAAAAUAAGGAAAAGAUAAGGGUAUACUAGUAACAGUAUUUUAAGAUUUUUUUUUUAAAUAUAAGAGCUAAAUAGACACCUAAUAUCAAAAUAUAGAGACAAAACUAAUAUUUACUCAUAAUAAUAAUAUAAUAAUAAUAAAUACCUGAUGAUUGGGUAAAGGUUUCUUCCUCAAAGACUCAAGCAACGAAAAAUUAUCCACAAAAUGCGAACGGCCAUGAUUGUGAUCGUGACGCCCUUUAUCGCAGAAACAUUCCAGGCAGAUACUGUAAGCAGCUGUCUGGGGUUCAAAGCAGCUCAUGCAAGUGAAAUACUCAUUGGUUAUGAAGAUUUUGCACUGGCCGCAAAUUGGCCUUCCACUUUUCAGUAUAUAGUAGAGAGUCAACACUUCCUUAAAAUCUAAACCUCCGCUUCUAUCGAUGUCUAGUUGAUUGAAGAAGUCACGAGUACGCAUGUUCUCAUCGUGUGCUUUCUGCGACAUGAAAUCUGAAAACUCCCUGUAACUCACCCUACCGUUUCCAUCUUUAUCCAUUGAUUGGAAAAAUUGGUUGAAUAAACGUCUUUCUUCAUCGGUUCCAGAAUUAUAAUAGGCUAAAGCAACCUUUCUCAACGCCUCCAUUGCAGUUUCUUUUAUGGCUUAAUUUGCCAGAGAUUGUGAGGAGUGAAGACCUUCUUAUAUAUUUUUUCUCCAUAUGUUAUGUUAUUAUGCUAAUUGUUUAGUCUUAGGGAAAAUUAUUAAAACCUCCUCACCCGCCGCCCCCCCUUCAUGUUUCAGUAAAUUAACCUCUUCUCUUUCAUAUUUCAAAACCUAUAAAAAAAAACCUCAGUUAUUAACAGUUUCUCUUAACUUCAGACUUAUGAUUGAUUUUUUAAUGGAUAAUUAAUUGCUGAAAUUAAUAAAAAGUAAUCAUACAUCGGAUUUUAAGGGUACAUUAGUAAAAUACAAAAAAGUUGAAAGUAAUUUUUUCUAAUUAUAAGAAAACUUUGAUGAAUUUCAGAACAAGAGGAAAAAAUGAUUAAUUUUAACAAACAACAGAGGGGGUAAUCAUUUUCCAUUUUAUAUUUCUCCAACUUUCAUGUAUGCCUGGUUUUUUCAACACGGGAAGAUUCUCAACUACUUAUUGAAGCAGCCAAGUGUAUGUGCAUGUCUGCAUGAUUGAAACAAAUCUUCUUGACCCCAGAAUACUGCAAUUAAAUUCUUUUAAUUAAUUUUUUAAGAUACGCUAAUAGUCAUGUAUUUGGUAGCGAGUCUGCAUAGAAGAAUAUGAUAAACAUAUUGUUGUUUCCUUAAUUAAUAGUAAUUAAUCGUGGAUUAAGAAGUGGUGAACUAUAUGAUGACGAUAUAUUUGUGACAUAAAUAGAAGAUGCAUGCCCCGAGAGAAUUCAACUUUCAUUUUUAAUCAAUCAAUUAAAUUAGCAUUUUUGGCAUUGUACACACCAAAGGGAAAUGAUAGUCAAAUUUUAAAGGUUUCAAGAAGCAAAGAGGAGAAACUGGAGAGUCUUCACAUUUGUUGGUAUUAACGGGUUUUGUAACAUUAUAACAAAGAAUUUCUUUUGUUAUAGGCUACGGUGCAUAUUAUACUUAUAGUAUAUAAGUUGUUAUCGCUACAAUGUGGGGACUUGAACAAAAAGCCAAAAUGGUUUAUCUUGGACGUCGAUGAUAACUAUAACUACUCUGAUCUUCUAGCUAAUUAUAAAAGUUUAAAGGAGGUGAAGAUCCAUUUCCAAGAGUCGAGUAGUGAAUCGACAAUUGCAUUGCAAUUUCCAUCGCCAGCAAAAUUUAAAUCUUUCUACACAACAUGAAAAGUAUAGUUAUGUAACAUAACUUCAAUGACAAAGGGAGAGGUUGGCCACAAAUUAUAAAAAGAUGUACAACUAAUUUUGACAUUCACCCGAUUAAAGAAAAAACUUAUGUUGUAAUUGUACCGGUGGCUACCAAUCGGUUUCAUCAUUAAAAUAGAGUGUCUUGACAAAAUGCUUAUGAGCGUGUCUCAUUAUAUCCCCCGAAUGGCGAGUUGUCGAAAAAACGCCAAGGCGUAAUUCAUUAUACGUUAACGACCUAGGUCCUUAGAAAACUUCUAAGUAAAGCGCCCAAAAGGCGAGCUUUGGACAAAACGCCAAGUGCAUGACUUGAAAAAAAAAAUGACCUAGGUCAAUUUCCACAAAAAUGACCUGACCUAGGUCCUUAGAAGAAAAUUCUAAGUAAAGUGCCCAAAAGGUGAGUUUUCGAUAAAAUGCCAAGAGCGUGACUUAAAAUAAAAUGACCUAGGUCAAUUUUUACAUAAAUGACCUAAGUCCUUAGAAGAAAAUUCUAAGUAAGAUACCCAAAGGCUGAGUCUUCAACAAAACGUCAAGGGCGUGACUUCAAAAAAAAAUGACCUAGGUCAAUUUUCAUAUAAAUGACCUAGGUCCUUAGAAGAAGUUUCUAAGUAAAACACCCAAAAGGCGAGUUUUCGACAAAACGCCGAGGGCGUGACUUAAAUAAAAUGACACAGGUCAAAUUUAACGAAAGUGACCUAGGUCCUUAGAAGAAAUUUCUAAAUACAACGCCCAAAAGGUAAAUUUUUAACAAAAUGCUAACGGCAUGACUUAAAAAAAAUGACCUACAUCAAUUUUCACGAAAAAUGAUUGGUCCUUAGAAGAAAUGUUUAAAUAAAGCGCUCAAAAGGUGAGCCUUCGACAAAACACUGAGGGCAUGACUUACAAAAAAAAAAAUUAUUGAGGUCAAUUUUCACAAAAGUGAUCUAGAUCCUUAGAAGAAAUUUCUAAAUAAAACACCAAGGGCGUGACUUAAAAAAAAAAAAAAGACCUAUGUCAAUUUUCACAUAAAUGACCUAGGUCCUUAGAAGAAAAUUCUAAGUAAGACACCCAAAGUUGAGUCUUUGACAAAACGCCAAGGGCGUGACUUUAAAAAAAAAUGGGGCUACUGCUCCUCGGAACUGCUCAGCCAACUCUUGGCAUAUCUGCUCGUAUCCUUUUAUACUUCCUCGUGGCAGCUUGUGGUACUAUUCCUGGGCUCGUGCCUCUAGUGUCAAUGGGAACACCCUGCACCUCUGAGCUGGUGUUAGCCCCUGCACACCCGUCAUGUCGUUGAAACGUUCAAUAUGCACCAGCGGGUCACUUCUCCCGGAGUAUUUGAGGUCGGGGAAGCGGAAAUCUCUUGGGAUUACAGUAACCAUGAUCUCGGCUGAUAACGGAGAUUCUUCAUCUAGCAUUAUCCUCCAACUCGGGGGUUUUCUCUUGCUCUGAAUCUCAUCCAUCACCUGCGCCAACCUGCGCACCUCACCCUCCAAUUCUACAGCACGGUCAGGAUCGAGCGCAGCUAUCUGAUCUCGCUCUUGCUCGGCAUUCUGCAGCCGCUGUCUGAGCUCUCCUUCAUCAAUAUUAGCUCCUCGGUCAUCAAUUUUCAGUACUCAUUCGGAGCGAGGUUGGUCUCUCCCUUCAUCUCGCGCUCUCCUGGGAUCCGGCCAGUAUUUCUAUGGGGAUGCACCCCAUAGGGUUGGUCUACCGGUGGAGGGAUUUUCUCGAUUCUACGCCUCCGGAGGCUGGGUUCUGCCACAACUUCAUCUCUCCCCAUGGUGGUUUCACAGUCCCUUCUCCGCUUAUCCCUCAGCUCAUGCAAUAUGGCCGUGAGAGUCUCCAUUUGCUUCUCCAUCCGUUCCAUUCGAUCUUGCAUCACCCUAUCUCUAGCUUCAUUUGCUAUUUCUCGGAGAGUGAUUGUUUCACCAGUUUCAUUGUCGCCCCUUAGGGCAUCCUUCCUUGAUAUAUUCAUAACCGAUCGUUCACUACUUCUCCGAUGACUACUAACUUGGUGGUAGCUUUUUAUCCAGCUCCCCACAGACGGCGCCAAAAUGUUGAUGUUGAAAUCUGCUCGCCUUUUGCCCGACCAGAUCUUUCCACCAACGCUUAUGUGGUCAGGAGAGAAGACGUCAUUUUCUUCUUGUUCCAACAAUUACCUAAGUCACUGGGUUGGAAUCACCCUUCAUUCUCUUACUAAGCCUGCGUUCAAAAAAAUGGAUCAGAAACGCAAGUGGUUUUACCGGUGUAAACCCUCCGAUGCCUAAGUCAGCACAAGGUAUUUACGAGAAAACGGUGCAAUUUAGAUUCUGUAAUUGCUUAUAAUUUGCUCAAAGUUUGUAUAGAAAAUAGUCUGGUUUCAAUUUGGCAGAGUUUUCCCUUCUUUCAAUUUUUUAUGUCCCCUUCUUUCAUUGGUUUUUCCCUUUCUUAUAGCCGUUGUCCCACGUUUCUGUACACUUCUCAUACUCCCCCUUUAUCGGGUAAUGACUGCCCCUUAUGGGUCUCCAACCACUGGAUUGUGGGUAAACGUGGGAUACCAUGUCCCUCUCAACGGUUCGGGGCGUAGCGAAACUGUGGCGACUUCGUGAGAUCGUGUGCCCUUUCUUUGGUGAUGAGUAUCUGGUCGGUAUGUGUUCCUAGUCAGUAUAUUUCUCAGGUUGGUAUACGUCUCUGGUUGUACUCUUAUCGUGCCAUUUAGCUGAGGAUAUUUGCCUCGGGGUGGGAGAUGAGGGCAUGGCCGAGCUGGUACUUUUCAAUUCUUAACAAUAUGAGAACCUCUAAACUCUUAAGUUGCAAUAGAAAGUUAAAAAAGAAAAAAGGCUUAAGGUUAUUCUUAAUUGCAAUUUAAUUGCUUGCCCACAGAGCACUAUGUAUAAGAGUUAUAACCCUAAUCAGGAUUCAGAUUUUGUCAGCUUUUUGUUUUAGUUCCAGAGAGAGUUCAUUAAUUUUCCAUUGUUUCUUUUGUGGUCCCAAAGCCAACUUUCGGUGAUGGAGUUCUAUGAUAGUCUUUGUUGGUAUAGUUUCUGAAAUGAAAUAUAUUGUGUUGUGGAUUUUGGUGUUAUUUGGUGUUUAAGUAGUUAUAUUUCUAUAUUUUGAGUACUAAAAAAGAAAAAAAUUGUUUAUAUUGUGAUUUUGGUUGUCGGAAUCAUUGGGUUUUAGUUUAUGCGAUUCCCCAUCUUCCUCAUCUAUUUCAAGAGAUCCAUGACUUUGUUCUAUCUCCUUCUGCAAUCGCCAAAUAACCUAGAAAUGGCAUGCUUGAUUUUUUUUUUAAUUUCGGGUAUUCAGUAUAUCUAUCAGCGUUUGGAAUCCGAAAGCCAAAAAUCAGAUUUCUUCGGGUUGAGCUCGUACAGGAUCAGGAGCCUAAAAAUGGGGUUUAUAUCCAAAUUCGGUAUGUUAAUUAUCAUUCGGGACUAGAACCAGAAAGCCUAAACCCGGAUCCGAAUUUUACCAUCCCUAUCUACAUGAAAAAAAAGGGCGCCCACACAUGAGAAUGGUAAUAUAUACACAAAUAUAUACGAAUGCAUACAUAUAUAUAGUUCUUUACUAAUGUGAGUGCCUUUAUUUUUUUUCAUCUAACACGUCAUUAACCAUGCAAUUUAAUAAAGUUAUUUUAAUUAACUAUUGAACACAUAGUUUAAUAGUAUGUCCACAAAAUAGGGUGUCUGCAUAUUAGAUCAUUAAUAAUCAAAGAAAAAAUUUAAUAUGGAAUCAUAUGAAGUGAUUUUUAAGAUUGACAGUGAGAUUCAUUCUUCUAAAUUAUUGCUUGACGCGUCACGUUAAAGGAUAUGUCGAUGACUAUGUAGAUGAGUCUGAAAACUUUGAUGAUGAGACCGAAAAGUUUUAGCUUUGAAAUUUGUAGAGGAUGUUAGUGCUAACACAUAUAAGAGAUCGAAUGCCUUCGCACUCCAACUAUACAUUAGUGUGUGCCGCCUCUUUAGCAAUAGAAGUUGAAUGUCAACUUUGGGAAGAAUUUGAAAAGCAUUGGAUAAAAUUGCGAAGAAAUUCAUUGACAAUGCAACUGGAAAAUUGCCUGAGAACAUGGCCAGAAAUGUCUAUAAGAAGGUAAUUGGACAUGUCCAUGACAACAUGAGAUUUCAAAUGUCGAUGAGGAAGUAAUUAGAGACGUCUAAAAUUGCAAAGGAAGGGGUAAAAUCUAAUCUUGAUUUGAGCAUUGAUUUUAACAGUAUGGUUGUUACGGUUCUAUCAAUAUCUAUAUUGAAGCAAGAGAAUUGUUCUAGAAGAAGACCUUAAGGUAAAUAUUAAGUUAGGUGACAACAGAUUGAGCAAGAUUUACAGAAAGACUCAAGAGGCUUCUAAGUGAUUCUUGAGUCCAAUACGACCUUAUUGCAUUUUUUUUUCAUUUUGUUAAACAACAGAAGAUUCUCUCCUUUCCCGUCGCUUUGGAUAAUUCAGACGUUGAUUAUUGACGAUAAAGUCCUUAAUAAAAUGCUUUUGAUCAAAUUUCAUCUUUUGAUCAAGAAUAUACAAACAACUACAGUUUGACUUUGUUUGUUUAAUUAAUUUGGUCUCUAACUAGUUAUUCAUUCUCCUUUCUAUUUUUAUUUGAAUAAUUGAUUUAAUAUUGCAGCAUUUUUUGGUUUAGAGCAUAGAAAUAAAAAGGCAUCUCGAUGAAAAUGAUAGAAAUUAAUUAAUUACCAUAUAGGUUUGUUAUUAGUUGUAGGGGUAGAGCUCAGAGUAAAUCUCGAGGGAGCUAAAUUCAAACAAGUAGCAAUAGGGGAUGGAUUUUAGAUGGUUUUUUCAUCUAUAGCUAUGGUGUAAUCCUGAAAAUUUAUAAAUUUUGCUUGUAACUGUAGUAAUUUUAAUUUGGAGAUUUUGAUUAAUAAUUGAGGCUAGUGUUACAAAUAAAGAAUAAAAUAAAAAAGUAAUUAACAAAAUAAAGAUCAAAGAGAUAGGUCUUAACUUCAUCAAAAUUUUAAAAAGCUAUUUGCUAUUUUAUUAGGAUGAAAAAGGAAAUACCAAAAUAAAGAUCAAACCCUUUAAAAAAAAAUAAUAGAUAAAUAUCAAACAAUUAGGCAACUUCAACUUUGUUUCACAAAAUAUAAAGCUCCAUUUUCAUCAUAUAUAUAAAGUUUACAAAUUAAUUGUGUAGGGGCCAAAUCAGUAUUUUUUUAUAUUUCCUUUAAAAAUUUCAAAAUUUUUUUAAAGCUUGCAGGUGCCUUGUCACUGCUAGUCUUAAGCACCCUCUGCUCCUAAUCAGAUGGAAAUUAUAAGUUAAUUUUCUUCAGACACUUAUAUCAUUUUGCAAUGCAAAUUAAUUACGGUAAACCUAAGUUUGAUUAAUUCCUGAGAGCUAGCUAGCUUCUGGUUAUAUAUAUAUAAUAACUAUUAAUUAACUAUUGAAGCAAAUAGUCUUUUAUAAAUAUAUAAAUGUCUUUUAUAAAUAUACCAAUGAGUUUAAUCUUAAAUUUUAUUGAAAUAUGAAAGUGAAUUCACGCAGCCCUUCAUACCCAAAAUGGAGUACCAAAAAUAAAAACAGAGACAAAAGUUAAACUAAAAAACAGCCGCAUGUACGUGAAGUCGUGGGUUCGUGGUCAUGGGUUCGAACCCCCACAUUGCAUUGUGGAGCUUUAAUUUUCUUCCUCAAUUUGAAUGAAGACAAUCUUUUUCCUUUUAAAAUGUGACUGGAGUAGACUUCCCUUAAAUAUUAAAGAGGAUAAAAAUCUGGGCGGACUUCAUAAAAAUUGAUGUAAAUUAGUUCCAGUAAUAAUCUGAUUUGUAAAUAUCAAUUGUAAUUCAUAUAAUAUGAGUUGUGCUCUUGAGCAAUAAUCUUGCGUAAUAAAAAAAACAUACCCGCACGCUAAAGCCAAAUUAACUUGAAAACAUACAUCAAGAAAUCUAAACAUUGCACACAGCUGAUAUAUUCUUCAUCUUCAGGAUAGCUAGGAUGUACGACUGCAGCCUCCUUCUGUGAAUAUAUUUGAAGUGUGCAAGCCUCACAUAAUUGAACAAGCGGCAAUAAUAUUUGCAAUGGGAAGUGCAGCUUCGAAAACUCUAAGUGCGACUUGCCAUGGAAACUAGAAAUCAAUAAAUAAUUUUAACAUGAAGAAAUUCACUAUCAGACUUUAGAUAGAUCAACAAGAAAUUCACUCCCAGAAUAUAUAAAAAUCAACACGGCUCCUCAGCACUAUAUCCAAAUUUAUAAAAAUGCUAUGCACCAAAUUAAAUAAUCGAGUAAUUAUUCAAAAUUAAUUAAUUAAAGUUUGGUCAAACUCACCCUUCCCACGACUGGGGUAUUUGAAUUGUAAGGAACAACUGCAAGAUUUGAAGGACUUUCUGAACGAUCGGGCCGACUCGUGGGGGUCCUGAUGCUUCCUGAAUGAUCGGGUCUACUCGUGGGGGUCCUGAUGCUUCUGAACAUUGAAGGACUAUCUGAAUGUUCGGGCCGACUCGUGGUAGUUCCUUGGGUGCUGAUGCUUCUGAACGUUGAAGGACUUUCUGAAUGAUCGGGCUGACUCGUGGCAAUCCCUUGGGUGCUGAUGCUUCUGAACAUUGACUGCAAUCAAUUGCAGGUCAAUACAAGUUUUAUAAAUAGGCAAUUAAUUUCAAAAAUUAAAAUCUUCAAUUAGUAUAUAGGUGAAUGUUUUUUUAGUGCGUUAUAUUUUGAAUUAAGUGUCAACCCCCUUGUUUUGGGCUUAGAGGGCUUUGUUUCGCCUUCGGCUUCAACUACUUUUGCUUCGAAUAGAUGGCACCCAUUAUACGAGAUAAAAAAAAGACAUUCAAUUCUAUAUUUUAAAAAAAUACUAAAAGAUACUCCUACUAAUAAAUAUAUAACAUUUUCUCAUAUUUUUCUUUAGUUUUCCAAUAAUACUCUUGCAACAAUCUAAAAAAAUUAAUUAAUUAAUCUAUAAAAAAAGUUAAUUAGCAAAUUACCAAUAAUUAUCUGUCUAAAGAAAUUGAUAUUUUUCAGACACUUGCAAUAAUCUCUAAUAAAUAUUUAUAAAUAAAUAAAUUACCAACUUAAAGCUACAUUUAAUAUCUUGUUAAUAAUUGUAAAAAAAAUUAUAUUACCUAAUUAAUCCUAAAAGUAAAAUAAUAAAAAAAUUUAUUUUACUUUUAAUGUUAAUUUUUAUUUUACUUUUAAUGUUAAUUUAAUAAAUUAACUUUUUUUUUCUUUUCGUUAGCAUCACCAAAAAUAUUAUUGCAUGGAUAUUAUCAUUAAAAAUAAGGAAAAGAUAAGGGUAUACUAGUAACAGUAUUUUAAGAUUUUUUUUUUAAAUAUAAGAGCUAAAUAGACACCUAAUAUCAAAAUAUAGAGACAAAACUAAUAUUUACUCAUAAUAAUAAUAUAAUAAUAAUAAAUACCUGAUGAUUGGGUAAAGGUUUCUUCCUCAAAGACUCAAGCAACGAAAAAUUAUCCACAAAAUGCGAACGGCCAUGAUUGUGAUCGUGACGCCCUUUAUCGCAGAAACAUUCCAGGCAGAUACUGUAAGCAGCUGUCUGGGGUUCAAAGCAGCUCAUGCAAGUGAAAUACUCAUUGGUUAUGAAGAUUUUGCACUGGCCGCAAAUUGGCCUUCCACUUUUCAGUAUAUAGUAGAGAGUCAACACUUCCUUAAAAUCUAAACCUCCGCUUCUAUCGAUGUCUAGUUGAUUGAAGAAGUCACGAGUACGCAUGUUAUCAUCAUGUGCUUCCAGCGACAUGAAAUCUGAAUACUCCCUGUAACUCACCCUACCGUUUCCAUCUUGAUCCAUUGAUAGGAAAAAUAGGUUGAAUAAACGUCUUUCUUCAUCGGUUCCAGAAUUAUAAUACGCUAAAGCAACCUUGCUCAACGCCUCCAUUGCUGUUUCUUUUUUUUGCUUAAUUUGCCAGAGUUUGUGAGGAGUGAAGACCUUUUUAUAAUUG